CAGGUGGUGUGAGCAGCUGGCUCUGGGAAUUGAAGAAGGGCAAAGAGUUUCUAGGGGGCUUCUUGAUCUCUCAAGGAUUCAGCUGUUCUAGAAUCUCGUGGUGUGAGAAGUUCUUUCUGAGGUCUAACCUAAGUCCACCCCCCUCAUCCUCCUCGGUCCUCCCACACUGCAACAUGAGCCUCUCCAGAAAGCGUCCAUGAAAAGGUGGAAGACCCCGUUGUGCAAACCCAAACAUAAAUCUGCCCCAAACCAGGCCUGAAGCGUGAGUCUCCCUCCCCAGGAUCCUUUGCGCACUCAACCAUCGUCCUCUCCGAAGUCAAGUCUGCGUUCUGCAGGUCGGGGUUGGCAAAGACCAGGAAUCGUAUCAGCUUCCUCCCUCCACCCCGCCCUCCACCUCUGACCCCCGACCUGAACCAGGACCACCAUGUCCCCUUCAAAUUCCAUGCUGAAAGUGCUUGUGGGACGGAUAGCUCCGUAACUACAGCUUAGGUUGUAAAAAUGGGUGCAAACGCUCUCAUCCCACGGCCUAUCUUGACAACACGAUGGUUGCUCUUCUCAACCCAGCCUAGAUAAUUGCGUAAUUAAUUGCGUGCAGGUAACUCAUCCAGAGAAGGUGGUUAUUAGGAGCGGGGAGCCCGACGCCCACUCCCUGGACGAUUACCAGGCUCGCCUCUGUGCCAGAUCCCGGCACGGAGGGGCUGCCAGCCGGUGUGCACGGGGUCUUCUGCGCUCACCUCUGAUCACAGGAGCAGCUAGACCAGAGAGCCUCGCCCCCUCGCUAUUGCCUGUUUGUUCUGCUGGUUCAAGUCCGAGGCUGUUCCUUGGAACCGAGGCCCCGCCAGGGUGGUUGAAGUGAAGAUGUCUUCUUGUCUCGAGGCUUGAAAGGAUCAGGGGUUUCCCUUGGGGCUUUGGCCAGUCCCCCUUUGGGUUUCCUGAGACACUUCUGGAAAGCCGGCCUCCACUUCCUUCCCCACCCACUCCCCCACUGCAGUCCACGUAGCUGGGCUUCGGUUUGGGAAGAUGAAAAGAGAUCUGGAGAUGGCUGGUGGGGAUGGUUGCACACAAUGUGAAUGUUCUUAAUGCCGCUGAAUUAUAUACUUAAACACAGUGAAAAGGGUAAAUUUUGUGUUAUGUACAUUUUGCCCCAAUAAAAAAUUGAUUAAUAAAAAAAUAAAUCGUGUGAAAAUGAACACCAUAAAAACUUUGUCUCAUAGAAAAAGCCCUAGGCCACUUUCUCCUAUUUUUUUCUCAGUAGAGGGAUAAUGGAGUAACUUCCACAUUUUGGCUUCUCUGCCCUCCUGCCAGAGUCAAUUGUUCCAGACCUCUCUGAGGAGGCAUCUGCAACCUAAACGCUGACUCGCUAGCGGCCACAGCUCACACGAUCCCGUUGUAAUUUGAUGAGAAGUCAAACCACUGUGCCCAGAGCAGGUGGGCAUUGCUAAGCAGCUGGACGCAGGCA
rnacentral:lncRNA from 1 species